GACGAACGCUGGCGGCGUGCUUAACACAUGCAAGUCGAACGGUGAAGCGAGUGCUUGCACUCGUGGAUCAGUGGCGAACGGGUGAGUAACACGUGAGUAACCUGCCCUCCACUCUGGGAUAAGCGCUGGAAACGGCGUCUAAUACUGGAUACGACCAAUCCCUGCAUGGGGUGUUGGUGGAAAGAUUUAUCGGUGGUGGAUGGACUCGCGGCCUAUCAGCUUGUUGGUGGGGUAAUGGCCUACCAAGGCGACGACGGGUAGCCGGCCUGAGAGGGCGACCGGCCACACUGGGACUGAGACACGGCCCAGACUCCUACGGGAGGCAGCAGUGGGGAAUAUUGCACAAUGGGCGAAAGCCUGAUGCAGCGACGCCGCGUGAGGGAUGACGGCCUUCGGGUUGUAAACCUCUUUCAGCAGGGAGAAGCUUUUGUGACGGUACCUGCAGAAGAAGCACCGGCUAACUACGUGCCAGCAGCCGCGGUAA
rnacentral:rRNA from 1 species